rnacentral:rRNA from 1 species
AGCGGCAGGCUUAAUACAUGCAAGUCGAGGGGCAGCAAGGGUAGCAAUACCUGUUGGCGACCGGCAAACGGGUGCGGAACACGUACAGAACCUUCCUUUAAGUGGGGCAUAGCCCGGAGAAAUCCGGAUUAAUACCCCGUAAUAUUUAGGUGUGGCAUCACACUUUAAUUAAAGAUUUAUCGCUUAGAGAUGGCUGUGCGGCUGAUUAGGUAGUUGGUGUAGGUAAAGGCUCACCAAGCCAACGAUCAGUAACUGGUGUGAGAGCACGACCAGUCACACGGGCACUGAGACACGGGCCCGACUCCUACGGGAGGCAGCAG